UACUGAUUGAGAUUUUAACACGAAGUGAGUGGCGAACGGGUGAGUAACACGUGGGUAACCUGCCCAGAAUAGGGGAUAACACUUGGAAACAGGUGCUAAUACCGUAUAACACAAAAUCCGCAUGGAUCUGUUUGAAAGGUGGCUUCGGCUAUCACUUCUGGAUGAUCCUGCGGCGUAUUAGUUAGUUGGUGAGGUAAAGGCCCACCAAGACGAUGAUACGUAGCCGACCUGAGAGGGUAAUCGGCCACAUUGAGACUGAGACACGGCCCAAACUCC
rnacentral:rRNA from 1 species